rnacentral:rRNA from 1 species
GUAUAUAGACUUCUCCUGAAGUUUAUAUUAAACAUUUAUGGCUAUUAGAUGGGUAUGCGUCCUAUUAGUUAGUUGGUAAGGUAACGGCUUACCAAGGCAGCGAUAGGUAGGGGUCCUGAGAGGGAGAUCCCCACACUGGUACUGAGACACGGACCAGACUCCUACGGGAGGCAGCAGUGAGGAAUAUUGGACAAUGGGCGAGAGCCUGAUCCAGCCAUGCCGCGUGCAGGAAGACUGCCCUAUGGGUUGUAAACUGCUUUUACAGAGGAAGAACCACCCCCACGUGUGGGGGUUUGACGGUACUCUGCGAAUAAGGAUCGGCUAACUCCGUG